GUGUCAGCAGCCGCGGUAAGACGUAGGUGGCGAGCGUUAUCCGGAUUUACUGGGCGUAAAGCGCGUGCAGGCGGUUCGGUAAGUCGGGCGUGAAAUCUCCUGGCUCAACUGGGAGGGGUCGUCCGAAACUACCGGACUUGAGGGCAGUAGAGGGAGGUGGAAUUCCGGGUGUAGUGGUGAAAUGCGUAGAUAUCCGGAGGAACACCGGUGGCGAAAGCGGCCUCCUGGGCUGCCCCUGACGCUCAGACGCGAAAGCUAGGGGAGCGAACGGGAUUAGAAACCCUAGUAGUCC
rnacentral:rRNA from 1 species